rnacentral:rRNA from 1 species
CGGCCAGACUCCUACGGGAGGCAGCAGUGAGGAAUAUUGGUCAAUGGGCGGAAGCCUGAACCGGCCAAGUCGCGUGAGGGAAUAAGGCCCUACGGGUCGUAAACCUCUUUUGCCGGGGAGCAAGGGCGGGGACGUGUCCCGGCCCGGAGAGUACCCGGAGAAAAAGCAUCGGCUAACUCCGUGCCAGCAGCCGCGGUAAUACGGAGGAUGCGAGCGUUAUCCGGAUUUAUUGGGUUUAAAGGGUGCGUAGGCGGGCUUUUAAGUCAGCGGUAAAAUCGCGGGGCCCAACCUCGCUCCGCCGUUGAAACUGGCGUUCUUGAGUGGGCGAGAAGUAUGCGGAAUGCGUGGUGUAGCGGUGAAAUGCAUAGAUAUCACGCAGAACUCCGAUUGCGAAGGCAGCGCACCGGCGCCCUACUGACGCUCAGGCACGAAAGCGUGGGUAUCGAACAGGAUUAGAUACCCUGGUACC